CUGUGCGAGCUCUGAGAGCGUACGUAGCUGCGACCGCAGGCAUUAGACGGUCGGACCAGCUCUUCCUCUGCUAUGGUGGUCCUAGGAGGGGCUGUGCUCUCUCCAAGCAGCGAUUGUCUCAUUGGGUUGUGGACGUCAUCACCCAUGCAUAUAAAGGAGGUGGUCACCCCCUGCCAUCCGGGGUCAGGUGCCACUCUACCAGGGCUGUCUCAACGUCAUGGGCUGCCCUGCGGGGCGUGCCCCUGGAAGACAUCUGUGAUGCAGCAUCAUGGACAUCACCAUGUACCUUUUCCAGGUUCUACCGGGUGAAUGUUGCCACUCCCCAUCCGUUGGCCCUGGUCCUGUUGCCCGACUCUGCUGUUCCCUCUCAAUGAGGUAGGUGUUGGAGUUCCUCGUGACCUGAGUUAGGCGGUCAGUUAGGAUGAAAUCGAACGAUAGUUACGUAUGUAACUACGGUUCUAUGAAUCCUGGCUGACCGCCAGAGCGCUCUGUCACUCAGAAUCCUUGUGUACUCGCGAGAAGCUUCUGCAGGAACGGAUCCUCUGAUGUCACCGGAAGAUAUAGGCUGUCCAGAGCUCAUCAGGGGUCACAGGUGACUUUGUUUAUAUUAGGUACUCGAACUGUGCAUGCGCGAGACGGAUAAAUCCAGUGCUUGAAGCACGGUCAGUAAGGAUGAAAUAGAACCGACUCAUCGUGCUCCCAUUCACCAUAUAAGUGUUAAAAGGUUGUAUCAGCGAUGUAUAAAGUGAAAAAACCCACAACACCCACCCAUUGUCGGUGAUUGGUUGGAAUACUAUUUAUUUUGGUUUUUAGUGGUUUGUAGUACCAUGCUUAUGGGGCGGACAGCUAGCGGAUCGUGAGGAAAGGUCAGAUUAAUGUGAUCAUUUAUGUUUCGGCCUAGAAUCGUCGAAACAACCUUUAAUAUUCAAUAUUACAAACAUAAGUCGUUUCAUUAAGGUAAUUUAGUUUACUCAUUAAGGUAGAAUUUGUUGGUGUUUCUUCCUGUUUUUGGAUUAAUGCUUAAAUCCUCCCUAAAUUGUAUCCGUCAGGUUAUUAUUGGUGGUCCAAUGCAGUAAAAUGCUAUUCAACAUGUUUUCAAAUCUUACAUAGUGGGUGUAGUCGCAAAGAAGUAUGUCAGUGUUCUGUCUGUUGAUUGGCUUAAACACACCCACGUGUCAGCAUUGUGUUUGCAUUUUGAUUGGCUCGUUGUGAAAAUGGGCGGGCGUGAGAUUCAGCCUACGUAUAAGUACGUUUCCAGUUCGAGCUCUUUCUCUUUCAUAGGACAUGUGUGUUUUACCUGAGAAGUAGAAUGGAAAAGCUUGAAUGUUCCUAUGUUAAAGAAAUGAAAACUAGAGAAGACCACUGUCUGCAGUGUCCUCUCCACGAAACCGAACGACGAAGGGACCUGAACGGCAGAGGAAAUGGAACUUGACCAAAUGUGAGGCCUGGGUCUUUGGAAGAUGCUGGCCUUAAUGGAAACCGAUCCCUUAACAGUCAUUCUAGGUGACUGAGAACCAGGAUUGCCGAAACGUUGGCAUGGUCGUCUGCAGCGCUUGCCAACACUUGGUGAUGCUUUGCUAGAGCCAGAGCUUUGAAGCGACUCUUCGGAAGAGGAGCGUGACGGGUACACCCUCCAUGUAGCUUGCUUGACAUGGCUCUGUGACGGUUAUCCUGGGAUAACGUGACCUGCUGUUGAUGUUGCUGCAGGAGCCCUUGUUGAAUUCUUGAGUGCAACUUUCGCCCAGCCAAUGGCUUCCCUGUUUCCAAUAGGUUGAGGCUUUUGUUCAGUUUUUUUUUUUACAGAAUAUUAAUUGAACAUUUAAUUGUGUCUCUUUGUAACAUUUAUGUACCGCUCUCAAAUGGUAACUGUUGAUCGAGUUUGCAACUUGUACAAAAUAAACUUGAUGUUGCCUAAAUGAUUGUGGUCCCCCCCUAUUUCUUCCACUUAUUAAGGCUAUACUAGAUUCCUGUGUGUCUGGACAUUGAAAUAUGCUUGUAUAAAAGAUCCAGUAGUUAAAAGGUUAGCUUUAUCCAUGGCUAGCUGUGAUUCACCUGGUCAUUUCUUAUAGACAUUGCAUAAAGUGGCGUGGUGAUGAACGAAUCAGUUGUAUUUGGCAUUUGCACGGAAAAUACUUUGUGUGGAUGUAAUAUGUAAAUUGGGCCUACG
ensembl:lncRNA